rnacentral:rRNA from 1 species
CCUGCCCAAGAGAUCGGGAUAACACCUGGAAACAGAUGCUAAUACCGGAUAACAACAGAUGAUGCCUAUCAACUGUUUAAAAGAUGGUUCUGCUAUCACUCUUGGAUGGACCUGCGGUGCAUUAGCUAGUUGGUAGGGUAACGGCCUACCAAGGCGAUGAUGCAUAGCCGAGUUGAGAGACUGAUCGGCCACAUUGGGACUGAGACACGGCCCAAACUCCUACGGGAGGCAGCAGCA